UACGGAGGAUCCGAGCGUUAUCCGGAUUUAUUGGGUUUAAAGGGUGCUCAGGCGGGGGAUUAAGUCGGCGGUGAAAUUUUGCAGCUCAACUGUAAAAGUGCCUUCGAAACUGGUUUCCUUGAGUGUAGAUGAAGUAGGCGGAAUUUGUGGUGUAGCGGUGAAAUGCAUAGAUAUCACGAGGAACUCCGAUUGCGCAGGCAGCUUACUAAACUACUACUGACGCUCAGGCACGAAGGCGUGGGGAUCAAACAGGAUUAGAUACCCUGGUAGU
rnacentral:rRNA from 1 species